rnacentral:lncRNA from 1 species
AGGAGCUGCAGCUGCCAGCCUCCCCCACAGCCACAGCCACGCCAGAUCUGAGCUGCGUCUGUGACCUAUACCAUAGCUCACGGCAAUGCCAGAUCCUUAACCCACUGAGCAAGGCCAGGGAUCCAACUGGCAUCCUCAUGGAUACUAGUCAGGUUUGUUAACCGCUGAGACAUGACGGGAACUGUUGGAUGCGGUUUAUACUUGGUUCACCCACACAGUGAAAAGCAUAUCUAACUAAAUGAAGAAACAAUUGAGUAUCAUGAUAGAACUAUGGACAAAGAUCAGUGAAGACUAGUGUGAUGGCAGCAUUGCAGGAUGAGGGGAAAGCAGUGGGUCUGUGGUAGAGGAAUUUGAAGUGGAUUCACACUAUGGCAGUGAGUGCUUCCCUAGACGGCUGGGUGUGUCUUGUGGAGAAGGGGAACUCCAGCUGAGGAGGAAAGGAAGGAGAUGCUCUGCUUGGAAAAAACCGUGCAAGGCGGUGUGGCACAGAGAAAAAAACGUGUUUUGCUGGAAUGAUAAGUCCUCCCUGAGGAACGUUAGGGGGACGUUUUAAACUUUUUUUUUUUUUUUUGGUCUUUUGUCCUUUUUAGGGCCGCACCCACAGCAUAUAGAGGUUCCCAGGCUAGGGGUCUAAUCGAUGCUGUUGCCACCUACCUACGCCAGAGCCACAGCAAUGCCAGAUCCGAGCCGCAUCUGUGACCUAUACCACAGCUCACAGCAACACCAGGUCCUUAACCCACUGAGUGAGGCCAGGGAUCGAACCUGCAAUCUCAUGGUUCCUAGUUGGAUUCCUUUCUGCUGUGCCACAACGGGAACUCCUAAACCUUUUUUUCAUUCACUGUAUUUUAAAAAAAAUGGGGGCAGUUCCCACUGCAAUGCAGUGGGUUAAGGAUCCAGUGUUCCUGUGGCAUGGGUCUCAGCUGUGGCUUGGAUUCCAUCCCUGGCCCAGGAACUCCCCUAUGUCAUGGGUGUGGCCAAAAAAAGGGUGAAGAAUGUUUUCAUCAACAUUCCUCCUUCACAUAUAUCUGAGCCCUGUUUUGUUUUGUUUUUUCUGGAUAAGAUCCUUCAACUCUAUCACUCUAACUCCACUGCUAUACUCUUUAUUUGAAAUGUUUAAAUAUUUUUUAUAAUUUAUGAUAAAAUUCCUUUAUUUUAAUUAUACUAUAAAAUAGAAUUUUUGUUUGUAAUAUCUAAGCAUCCAUAGAAUAAAGAAAAUCUAGCUCCUGUAAAAAAUUUGAUUUUCUAUAAUAAGAACGUCAAAAUUCAAUUUUACAUAGAUAGAAGGAAAGAUAAUUCCAACCAAAAGUAAAUGAGGCAUGUGCAUUUUCUACAUAUGUGAAAUUCAAUAGGCAUUUUAUUUAUGUGUGAUAUAAGUAGGUUAUAAACUCAAACUUGAUUUAUUAGGUCAAUGGAUUUUGACUUAUAAAUUUGGAUGAGAAGUAAUGGAAGUUCUCACUUCAAUGUACAUAUCCUAUAAGAUGAUUAUUUAUAAGCUAACUUAAAUUUAUUGAUAGAAACGUAAAAUAGUGGAACUUACCAGGUUCUUUGGGGAUAGUUCAUCUAAUGGUUCCCCUUGAGUAUGACUUUGAAGUCCCUUAUCAAAUAUAUCACCCUUUUCUGGGAAAAAAAAAAAAAAAACAGACCCUCAGAUUCAACCAUCUGACAGCACAGUCCCCAGAAUGGACAUAUUUCAGCAAUGACCUAAGCAGAGUAGAGAGGGAUUCUCCACUUCCUCUUUGCAGAAGUCACAUUCCACCGAUAAAGCCCAAGAUUAUGUUAGUUUCUUCAGAAGCAACUAUUUGACUUGGUUGAAACCAAAUGCUAAAACCUUUGUAAAAUCUACUGACAUUACCUCAGGAAUGGGAAACAAAUUGGAUCCCUCUUAAAAUCAGUUCAAUGCCAAAUGUAAUGAAAGCCUUUUGGAUCUGCUAGGAAUGUGUUAAAAUUCUAUCCAAACACGAAUCCCCAGAGUUCGAGGUGAUGUGAAAGGAAACCAUCAGGGAGAAGGUAUACUUGCAAGCCAUUUUCAGGAUUAAAAAAUACGUAAGGAGCAUGUGGUGUUUAUUGAUAAUAAAGGUGGGGAAAAACUAAAAAGUCAAGUGUUUACACUUAUAGCUGCAAUUGUUUAUAAAGCUGCUCGUUUUAAGCAAUUCUGAGGUUGUAUGUGUCUACAUACACACACAUACAUACACAUAUAUGUAUGUAUCUGCAAUAUUUAUUUCAUUAAUAAACGCAGGAAAAUAAAUGAAUUAUUCUUGAAUAAAUGCAACAUAUCUGCUGCAUUAAAUUCACUUGGAAACAUGUUGGAGCUGAUGUCUUCAAAAGGCAGAAAAUCCAAAUACAUUGAAGAACAUU